GACGAACGCUGGCGGCGUGCUUAACACAUGCAAGUCGAACGGAAAGGCCCUGCUUUUGUGGGGUGCUCGAGUGGCGAACGGGUGAGUAACACGUGAGUAACCUGCCCUUGACUUUGGUAUAACUUCAGGAAACUGGGGCUAAUACCGGAUAGGAGCUCCUGCUGCAUGGUGGGGGUUGGAAAGUUUCGGCGGUUGGGGAUGGACUCGCGGCUUAUCAGCUUGUUGGUGGGGUAGUGGCUUACCAAGGCUUUGACGGGUAGCCGGCAUGAGAGGGUGACCGGCCACAUUGGGACUGAGAUACGGCCCAGACUCCUACGGUAGGCAGCAGUGGGGAAUAUUGCACAAUGGUCGGAAGCCUGAUGCAGCAACGCCGCGUGCGGGAUGACGGCCUUCGGGUUGUAAACCGCUUUCGCCUGUUACGAAGCGUGAGUGACGGUAAUGAGUAAAGAAGCACCGGCUAACUACGUG
rnacentral:rRNA from 1 species